UACGUAGGGUGCAAGCGUUGUCCGGAAUUAUUGGGCGUAAAGAACUCGUAGGCGGUUCGUCGCGUCGGCUGUGAAAUCCCGAGGCUCAACCUCGGGUCUGCAGUCGAUACGGGCGGACUGGAGUUCGGCAGGGGAGACUGGAAUUCCUGGUGUAGCGGUGAAAUGCGCAGAUAUCAGGAGGAACACCGGUGGCGAAGGCGGGUCUCUGGGCCGAUACUGACGCUGAGGAGCGAAAGCGUGGGGAGCGAACAGG
rnacentral:rRNA from 1 species